CCUGAAUGAUCCAGCUUCCAAUAUGCCACGUGUUGAGUUAAUGACGAAAAACUAUAAUGACAAAGAUGGAUAUUGGAAUGUUCUGAUGAGUACUGCUGGAGCUCAAUACAGUUGAAGGAAGAAAUUA